GCGGGAGUGGUGGAACUGGUAGACGCGCUGGCCUCAAAAGCCAGUGUCCGCAAGGACAUAGGGGUUCAAGUCCCCUCUCCCGCACCA
rnacentral:tRNA from 1 species